ensembl:snRNA U6 U6 spliceosomal RNA
GUGCUCACUUCAGCAGCACAUACACUAAAAUUGGAAUAACAGAGAAGAUUAAUAUGGCUCCUGCACAAGGAUUAUAUGCAAAUUCAUGAAGUGUUCCAUAUUUAA